UACGGAGGGUGCAAGCGUUGUUCGGAAUCACUGGGCGUAAAGGGCGCGUAGGCGGUUUGAUAAGUCAGAUGUGAAAGCCCACGGCUUAACCGUGGAAGUGCAUUUGAAACUGUCAGACUUGAGUAUCAGAGGGGAAAGUGGAAUUCCCGGUGUAGAGGUGAAAUUCGUAGAUAUCGGGAGGAAUACCGGUGGCGAAGGCGACUUUCUGGCUGAAUACUGACGCUGAGGCGCGAAAGCGUGGGGAGCAAACAGG
rnacentral:rRNA from 1 species